AGUGGGAUUUCUGGGUCACAUGAUAAAUCUAUGUUUAACCUUUGGAGAAACUAUCACUGUUUUUCAAAGUGACUGUACCAUUUGACGUUCCCACCAGCAGU
rnacentral:pre_miRNA from 1 species